GGAAAUAUCAAAAGUAGAGGCCUCCAGGGUCUGCCUGCUCAUUUCCAGUUCUGGACUUGCCUGGGCAUGUGGGAAUUUUUGAAGUUGACCACUCCACCCAGGCUAGCCUAGUUCUCCAUAGCGGUUGCAGAAAUGCUUCUUAAAAGUCAGCCAAAAUGGGUAUCUCAUUUGCCCCAAAUGUUUGGCAGUAUUUGUGUAAGGGAUGCGGGUGGCGCUUUGGGGUAAAACCACAGAGCCUAGGACUUGCCGAUCAGAAGGUCGGCGGUUCGAAUCCCUGCGACGGGGUGAGCUCCCAUUGCUCGGUCCCUGCUCCUGCCAACCUAGCAGUUUGAAAGCACACCAGUGCAAGUAGAUAAAUAGGUACCGCUCCAGCGGGAAGGUAAACGGCGUUUCCGUGCGCUGCUCUGGUUCGCCAGAAGCGGCUUGGUCAUACUGGCCACAUGACCCAGAAGCUGUACGCCGGCCCCCUCGGCCAAUAAAGCGAGAUGAGCGCCGCAACCCCCAGAGUCGGCCAUGACUGGACCUAAUGGUCAGGGGUCCCUUUACCUUUACCUUAUUUGUGUAACAGACAGCAGAGAAUGCACUGGUAGCAGUUCUCUCUCCCUGCUGUGCUUGAUGCACCUAUAACUUUAGCUUGGGUGUGUCUGAAUCCCAUUGAUUCAGCUGGUUUGUUUGUUUUUUUCCCUCCAUAGCAGAGGCAGAACAUGAGUUUUUGCCCCCUGUGAAACCCCCACAGAUGUCGUCGGCCCGAAGGCAGCCUCUCUCCCAGCGCCUCUGCAGCCUUCUCACGCUCUUCAGAACAUCUCCCUCAAGCAUCCUUGGAUUGAAAUACAGAACAGAGUACAUAAUCUUUAUGGUAGCUGGCAGAGCCGGAGGGACAAUGGUGGCAUGUCUUGUUUUGAGGGAAUCCAAGAUGACCUUGAAAACGCAGCCGAUGAAGAGCAGGCAGAAACUGAAGCAGAAGAUGCAGGUACUUAUUUCUGCACGAUGGUGAGGACAUUUGAAAAUAGCAUUGUUUACUUGUUAGUCUCAGGGCCGGAUUUAGAUUUGAUGAGGCCCUAAGCCACUGAAGAGGGACGCGGGUGGCGCUGUGGGUUAAACCACAGAGCCUAGGACUUGCCGAUCAGAAGGUCGGCAGUUCGAAUCCCCGCGACAGGGUGAGCUCCCAUUGAGGAGAUUCCAAGAAUCUGCUGAUGUUCUCUGCUGAUUCUCCAGAGAGGAGGGGGGUGGUUUCUGCUCACUACUUAUUCCUCUCCAUCCUCACAUCAAGAGAGAGACUGAGUGUUAGAGAGAGUGUUAUCUCUGUAUAGAUAAGGUUGCUGCUAAGAGCAGCUGCUGACACUCAGUGCAGUUCAACUUCUCCAUUUAGCUCUGUAUAUAGUUUGUAUGAUAGUUGUAGAUAGAAUAAAAGUGGUUAUUCUACAGAGCUGUUCUCCAAGUGGUUUGUGCUCUGCUGUGCUCUGCUUUGCAACGACUGUCUUCAGGAGUGAAUCUGGUGCCCACAGCUCUGAGUUGUGAGUCCACAGCACUUAGACCUGUUCCUGUGCGGAAGGUGGUCUCUGGAAGUGCUACCCAGCUCGCCUGCCCAGUUGGGCUGAAGUGGAUGAGUCCAGUCGGUGGCACUGGCUCAAGGGCGAUGCUGACACCCAUUGCUGGGUCCCUGCUCCUGCCAACCUAGCAGUUCGAAAGCACCUCAAGGCGCAAGCAGAUAAAUAGGUACCGCUCUGGCGGGAAGGUAAACGGUGUUUCCGUGCACUGCUCUGGUUCGCCAGAAGCGGCUUAGUCAUGCUGGCCACAUGACCCAGAAGCUUUACACCAGCUCCCUCGGCCAAUAAAGCGAGAUGAGCGUCGCAACCCCAGAGUCGGCCACAACUGGACCUAAUGGUCAGGGGUCCCUUUACCUUUUAAGCCACUGAAGGUAAUGGGGCCCUUUAUAUGUCCAGCUGUCCUUUGUCAACAACAAAUUGUCGCUUUUUUGUGUUGAAUAUGUUGAAUGGUAAUUUAUGGACCUAAUAGGUACCUAAAGCCAUUUGCCCAUGCGGAAUGUAGGCACCCUGUAUAUAGAAAUGAGCAAACCAGUGAUAUUUUAGGGAGCAGGCUAGCAGGCGGGACCCAUGACUUACAUCAUAGGAGCCUACACAACACAAAACACUGUUGCUGUUUUAUUUUAUUUGUUUUUUAUCUUAUAUUUUGGAAAUGUACACCCAGUUUUUUUCCCCUUUAAAUUUUUUUUUGGGGGGGCCAAGAAAGUGGGGCCAUAAGCUAUAGCUUGUUUAGCUUAUACAUUAAUCCGACACUGGUUAUUCUGCACAGCUGUGAGGGAGAAACUGGGAAAAGUGAGCACAAAAGCCUUCAUUGAAGCCUCUGGGAUUUAUUCUGAGUAAAUAUCAGGGUUUAAUUAAGCAUUUCUAGGUAACCUGGGCAUAGACCCAUGGUAGCACAAACUUGCAAAAACAUUUGCACAUGCUAAGAUGCACCUAUAGAUGCAAAUGUCCAACUUUCAGAUGGGGGGGCGGGGGCACCUCUGACUCGAAUUUCUAUAAUACCUUGCUGUGUGAAUUCUGGGCCCAGUAUGCAGUACAGUGGUACCUUGGUACUCAAAUGCCUUAGUUCCCAAACGCCGAAAACCUGGAAGUAAGUGUUCCGGUUUUCAAACAUUUUUCAGAAGCCAAACAGCCCAUGCAGCUGUCGGCUAUU
rnacentral:lncRNA from 1 species